UAUCAGAUGUCCUCAACUUCUCAGUCAGGGAGGUGGCAGUAUGAUUUAUUUUCCAGCAGCUGUGUGCUGGGGAGAAGCAAGAAAGCAUGAUACUAACAAGACGAUAUCUGCUUUUUGUCUUUCUGAUGCUCUCCCAGAGCUCCCUGCAGCUGGAAGGUUGUGGCUGCCUAUUCAUAGGUGUCCUAAUCAGCAUCCAGAAGUUACUGCAGAUGUUGCUGAGAUGUGUCUUCAGACAGUGAUACAUUCUCUGCUCUGUAGGUCUUUUCGGGAGGCAUCCAAGAUCACAAUUGUAUAAGGGAGAAACGCUGAUGACUGUCUCCCUAAAGGACAAACACAGAACAAACCAAAAAAC